rnacentral:rRNA from 1 species
GAUGAACGCUAGCGGCAGGCCUAACACAUGCAAGUCGAGGGGGAAGUUACUUUCGGGUGACUGAGACCGGCGUACGGGUGCGUAACGCGUAUACAAUCUGCCUUUCACUGGGGGAUAGCCCGAAGAAAUUUGGAUUAAUACCCCAUAGUAUAUAGGGACGGCAUCGUUUUUAUAUUAAAGCUUAGGUGGUGAAAGAUGAGUAUGCGUUCUAUUAGCUAGUUGGAGAGGUAACGGCUCCCCAAGGCGAUGAUAGAUAGGGGUUCUGAGAGGGAUGUCCCCCACACUGGUACUGAGAUACGGACCAGACUCCUACGGGAGGCAGCAGUGAGGAAUAUUGGACAAUGGUCGGAAGACUGAUCCAGCCAUGCCGCGUGCAGGAUGAAGGUCUUAUGGAUUGUAAACUGCUUUUGUAAGGGAAGAAUAAGGGCUACGCGUAGUUUGAUGACGGUACCUUACGAAUAAGCAUCGGCUAACUUCGUG